rnacentral:rRNA from 1 species
UACGUAGGGUGCGAGCGUUGUCCGGAAUUAUUGGGCGUAAAGGGCUCGUAGGCGGUUUGUCGCGUCGGGAGUGAAAUCCACUGGCUUAACUGGUGGCUUGCUUUCGAUACGGGCAGACUGGAGGUAUGCAGGGGAGAACGGAAUUCCUGGUGUAGCGGUGAAAUGCGCAGAUAUCAGGAGGAACACCAGUGGCGAAGGCGGCUCACUGGACCGGUACUGACGCUGAGGCGCGAAAGCGUGGGUAGCAAACAGG